UUUAUUACAAGUUAUUACAGCCCAGAAUGAAUAAGAAAAGAAAAGCAAAAUUACAUCAGGAAACUAAAAUUACAACCAAGGAGAGCCUGAUUCAGACUUCCUAUCUGAAGCAUGAAGUAAACCAGCUCCAAAGAUCAAAUUUCCUAAGCCUUUCUCUCAUUUGGGAUGUGUCAGAGUUCCCUAAGAGUCUCAAAUGGACUCCGGGUAGUGAUCAUACCCAAAUAUAUUGCAGAAUUGAAUCAUAGUGCAGUCUGGAAGGGCGAGCCCUCAAAUGUCUAAGUUCAGAGGGAAAUCAAGGUCACAAGGCAAGGCUCACAGGAGGGGGCAGAAGUUAGAAGCUAAGAGAGAGUGUAAGUGCGAGAAGGGAUUCUGGGAAGAGGCAAGGACAAGCGAAUGGUCAUACCUAGAAAUUGAAAGUGCUGGCACACCCCACCAGCUUGAUAGGCCACAUUGUUUGGGAGUUAGGAUCCCCUAAGGGAUCAAGUCCAAACAUGAGCAACAACUUGCAUGUUUCCAUGUUUUGAACUUCAACUUAAAGCAUAUAGAGGGGAACAAGGGUGCAGGGAUUCACCGUAUAAACAAAUACAAAGAAAUAAUCAUGCUAAAUAACAUUGAAUGUAGACAGUAAAGCAAACAUGGGUGUAAAGGAUGUAAAUAAACACAUUGGGAUGAGGCUGAAACCAAAACUAGCACAUACUAGUUUUAAGGAAACAAGAAACUGAAGUAGUAGUCUUGUAAAGCCAAAGUUCAAGCAAUUAGUUAGAAUAAUAUGAUUUUAGAAGAGAACUAUGAUAUUGUAAGUAUCUUAAAGGUGCAAUGUCUGUUCUAAAAAUGCAGAAGGGUCGUACCCUUUUAUAGUGUAGGAAGCAAGCAUAAAUAGGUAAGAAAAUAGUUUGAAAUCAAUUACACAAAGUUUCUCGUUAAUCAAGGGAUUCUGAGUUUAAAUGGGUAGACUAUUUAAGAAAAGAUAUUAAUCAAACACAUCCAAAGCAGCAUAAGAGGGGUAAAUGGAUAGAGGUUUAAUUAAACACGAAGUCUGAUAGUGCACGGUUUAGGCGCAUAAGGAAAUGGAAUCAAUUAACAGCUAGUAAAUCAGAAAUUGAAGAUUUUAUAUGAAUGAACCAAGUCAGAAAGAUGGGAAAAAUUUUGACUUAAGGAAAAUCAGUACUAAUCAAUUAGACUUAUUAAAAGGAAUUUUGAAUCAAUCACAAGUUGGAAAAUCCUUUUGAAUAAAAAUUCCUCAUAUAUAAAAACAUACAUUCACGUUAAACAUGAAGAAAUUUUUCAUGCUAUUCAAUAGAAGAGUCUAGUGUAUGAGAAUCAGGAUUGUGUGAACAAAAGAAAGUCACACUUAGUUCAUAGGCUCAUAAAUAAGUCUGAAAGAGUCCAGGGUUCUCAAACAGAACCCUAGUCCGAUCAUAUGACCAAACUCGGAGGA
rnacentral:lncRNA from 1 species